rnacentral:rRNA from 1 species
UACGGAGGGUGCGAGCGUUGUCCGGAAUCAUUGGGCGUAAAGGGCGCGUAGGUGGCCACUUCAAGCGUGGCGGUGAAAGUCGGGGGCUCAACCCCUGAUCGGCCGUGCGGAACUGGGGGGCUGGAGCACUGUAGAGGGCAGGCGGAAUUCCGGGUGUAGCGGUGGAAUGCGUGAGAGAGUCCGGAAGAACGACCGGUGGCGAAGGCGGCCUGCUGGGCAGUUUUGCUGACACUGAGGCGCGACAGCGUGGGGAGCAAACAGG